CGCCGCGGCUGGCGGCUGCGCCCGAGUCCGCGCUGGGGAGGCGGCUCCUCUGCGCCCCGGCUCCUCUCCGCGAGCGCCCGUCACCGUCGUCCUCCUGGUGAGGUGCGGGCGGCGCUGAAGCUGCCAGGCGCCAGGGGCUGGCGACCUUGGGUGGCUUUGGACAUUUCUGCCUAAUGGGACUUCUGUAACCCUUGGAAGUCGCCGCGCUCACUUCUUCCGAGCCUGUCUGACGGCGGCAGCGCUGGUGCCCAAGGGCACGGCCCCGCCAAGCCACAGGGCGAGGCUGCGAGGCUGCGAGGCUGCGAGGCGCGGCGUCCCUGCUCCCCGCUACAUCCACGCCGGGCUCCUUCCUCGGAGCCCGCGCUCGCGCUGGCGGCGGCGCCCCGGCUGCUGCUGCGCUCGUCUGAGCUGUGCCCCGAGCGGCGACGCCGGGCGGGCGGCGGGUGGACGUAGGGAGCCCCGCUCCAGCCCCUCCUUGCCACGGUCGCGCGGCGGGGAGGCUGCGCUGCUCCGGUGCGGCUCGCCCUUCUACCGGCACAGAUAAGCAAAAGUUUGGGGCGGGCUGUACUCUCUCCCUGGCGAGGGCUGGUCCGCUACCUUGCUCCCUGCCAGGCGAGACCCUUGUCGGCUCUCUGCCUUCUCCUGGGCGCUGCCACCCUGCGCUCGGCUGGGCGCGCUGGCGAUUCUGCUCCCUGCAACGCGCGAGGCGCUCAGUCCCCCACCCCGGGGUCAGAGGUGGCCUUCCCUUCUCCCGUCCCAGGAUGGGGGGAACCAACACCGUACACCACCCUGCAGCCGGAUUAGAGGGGCCAGGUCAGCUUCACCCGCGGUACACACUACAGCGCAGCAAAAUCAACCGACUUUCCCAUGGCACCGUUUGAGGCCAGAGCAACCUUUUGGGGUGGGAAUCCGAGCGGCAGAGGUGCUAUUCAGCUUACACCUGAGCUAUUUCAGGACCUGACCCUUGUUCUGAAGAAGUCGCCGUGGGGGUGCCAGCCUCUCACUCCGACGUCUAGAGAAAGGACCCUAUAUGCCCUAUAUUGCUGGAUGGAGACACACAAGACUGCUUCUGAGGCUUCCCAGUCCGGGCCACCCAGGCCACCCUUUGUGGAGCCCGAGCUAAGGUCGCGCACCCUCAUAGGGUGCGGGGCGCCCAGACGCUGGGAUGCAGGAUGAGCCCAGGCUCGCGUCUUUCCACCCUCAAAGCAGGUGCACAGUGCCCUCUCGCGUCCGCGUCGGAGAAUUUCAAGGCGUUGUCCAGGUUCUCCAAAAUCAUUCCGCAGAAGGUGGCAAGCUUUAUGACUUUCCAUGAGGUCCUCGCCAUCUUUUUAGAGUACAAAUGUUUAUAUCAGUGCACCUUCAUAAAGCCUUCUGAUACUGAAAUAGAAAGUGUUCCUGUAGUAGUUUGAACUAUGCUGCUAUGAAACAAAUUGUAAGCAAAUAUUUAUUGGGAAAUCAGUAAUAUGCCAGAGCCUUACACAUCUCUAUCAUCUAUCUAUUAUUUAUCUAUCUAGUAAGAAGUAGUAUUAUCUAGUGUCUUACAGAAGAAGGAACUGAGACAGCCAAACGGGAGUUUGCCCGAGAUGCCAGUGAUGUCAGCCAAGCAAGAGUUACAAUUGUGAGGAAAUAAUUCAGGGCCACUUCCCAAGGAGCCGCCACAGUCGCCAGUGUGCUCUGUGUGAUACGUAGGAGAAGUUGGGCUGGUUAUAAGGGGGGAGUUCCUCCUUUUUAGAUGGAGAAACUUCAGACUCAAGGGUUUUCCCGUGUUGUUUUCUUUCUCAAGUUGUGUGAAAAGUCCAACGGUGCUAUUUAAUACUUCAUUACUUCCAUAUAGAAGGCCUCUUCCCCUCCGGGAACUUGAGGACAUUCAUUUUGUCUCAUUAAUCUUCAGGAAAGGCUGUGCGUAUUUUUAUUUCCAUUUUACAAUUAGAGAAACUGGUUUCAGAGGAAGAUAAAUGACUUGCCCAAGGUCAUAUAGUAAAUCAAGACAGAGACAAGAACAAGCUUGUCUUGUCAGAGUGUCUCCCAACCGGCCGCAGUGAUUCUCCUUUAUUUAUGUGCAAAGACUCGUCCAAUUAGGAAAUAAAGCAGUCUGUGCUCUCUGGAGAGGAAGCCUCUUAUAAAUUAAUCAUUUGUUAAUCUGCCAUAAAUAAAAACCUACUUACUUUUGACCUCUCGAGGAAACUUGCUGUCUAGAGACUUCACGAAUCUGAGCUACGGAGACUUCUCUUUUCCAGAUUCCCCUUCUACUUCCGUUGUACAUGUUUCCCACACAUGCUCAAGUUUCUGUUGUAAACCCCUGUCCUUCUGUCUUUCUCCUGCUGGCCUUAGCAUUUGGAACCCCUCCAUACAUUUCAUUCUAGAGGCUACUAUAUCUAUGCACAAUUUCAGGACAGUUUAUGUCUCUCCUGUAGAGACACACGGAAAUCCAAGAACAAUGAUUGGCUGAUUUUAAGAUUCAGAUCCGUAGCCUUUUAGAGCCUGUGAGACCUUUCCGUAUCAUCCCUAGCACUCAAAUUCAGAGAGGAAGCAAAGAUCCAGGAAAGUCAAGUUCCUUACCCAAGGCCCCAUGCCCAGGGUGGCACAGGACUGGGACAAGAACCCGGUCUGGUCCUUACCUUGCUCUUUUUGGUGUCCUACGUUACCUCACCUUCGCCAUGAGCACCUCCCUGCCACCAAAUGCAUUCAUUUGCUCCUCGAGUGUUCAUUAAGUAGCCACUGCAGGUCCAGGCACCAAAGCACAAAGAGUUUUUCUUCAUUAAUUGGAACUGGAAGGAUUUCAGCAUUUAAAAUAUGUAAAGAAUAAUAAACUGGCAGCUUUUUAUACGUGAAAGAAUUGGGAAGAUUGCAAAAAUACAUAGAUGCUAUUUUCUUCUAUUUCUAUUAUUAUCCAAAUUUUAUAAAUCAUAACAUUAGAUAAAAUUUGAAAUUAAACUUUACUUAACAUUGUAGACAAAAAUGUAUGGUAAACAGUACCUGCCUGUUAUGCCUCCCACCACAACCUUAAAAUUAAUUUACCCAGCAUACACUGUGGUGGACAGAUAACUGUAUAAGGUAUUUUUGAAUGAUGAUGCUUUAUGAAAGUUUUUUCUUUAAAUAAAAAAUUUCAAAACAUACAUCAAGCUGAUUAUUUUUUAAUAUGAUUGGGGUCAGAUUUCUUUUGCCAGGAAGCAGUCCAUCCUUGCCUACAGAAAAAUCACUGGGAAAACAGCUUGUGGAGAAAGUUGGUUUUAGGCACUGUUUUGGAAAUGUUUUGCAAUGACAAGAACCAUGGCAAAAUGUAAAGUUAACACUGACUCUCUCUGUAAUUAAUUAAUAAUAACUAUAUUUCGGUUCUCAUUCUAAAUAUCAAAAAACAGCUUUUCUGCUCUGCAACUCGAUUUAAGGUUACAGAGUGAAAAAUAAUUUGUUUUGAAAUUUUCUUGGUGCUACAUGCGGUUUCUUACUAUUUUGUUUAGAAGGUAAAUGUUCACACCUAGUGGGUAUAAAAAUUAAAUUCCAUUAACAUCUAUUAAACGUCAGUCCCCAGGGUGUCUAGCCUCAUAAGAGUCAAAGAUAUAUAAUAUUAAUCUUAAAAUACUAAAUGUGUCUCACCUUUUUUAACCACAUGCUACAAAGCAUCAAGAAAGAGCAUGUGGCGUAGGAGGAGAUGAGAAUAACAGGCUUGAGUGAUGGAAGAGCCAGUCUGUUCUCUGGUGGCUGGGAGCGAGGCAUGGGUUUGGCACCUUAACUAGGGGCAAGGAGGCUGGGGUGUCUGUUAAUACGCCCGAGCUGUAGACGUUAUAUCUGUGUGUGACAACACACACAUGAAAGAGGGAGAGACGGAGCAGUGGGGAGUGCCAGCAGGAUGCCGUUAGAUUAUUCAUGGCUGGUGGAAUAGGCUUUUCUUGCUUUAAGAAAGAAACAAAGGGGGGCUGGGGAUUUAGCUCAGCGGCAAAAGCGCCUGCCUAGCAAGCGCAAGGUCGUGAGUUCGGUUCCCGGUACCAGAGAAAAACCAAAAAAAAAAAAAAAAAAAAAAAAAAAAAAAAAAAAAAAAAAAAGAAAGAAACAAAGGGGGUAAAAUGCAUGUUCUAGGAGUCAUAGACUUGGAGGUCACUGAUAGAAAGAAUGCCAAGCAAGACACUGUGUUGGUGCCAAAAAAAAAAGAAAGUGAGAUUCAUUUCAAAGCUCUUUUCCUCUCGUCUCUGAAAAGCUCCAGAAGUUCUCUGUCUUGAUAUGCACUCAAAAAGGGAAGGCAGAGAAACAUUUAAUGCAGUGUUUCCCGGAGGUAAAAAUGGUCAUUGGAGCAACAUUUUAAUAGAUAAAAAUAGAUAACUCUUUGAAGUACCUCUUUCUGUCAUUUCCUUCAAGUCAGAAAAGUUACUUCAGCACUUACAAGUCAGGUUGUAUAACCUUAUUAUACAAGUGAAAUGAUAUUGAUAAAAGCUGUGUCAGAGGAGUCCAAGUGACUCAUACAUACAGUCGCAACAAUGAAGUCACUAAAUUUGUGACCAGUUAUCUAACUUGAAUGAGCAGUAAUUGUUCCCAUCAAAGGGUUUCUUUCCCCUUAGGAACUGGGACAAUCAAUUGAAUGGCAUCUGUUUCCUGAGCUCUACCUGACCCCUGAUGACAGAUUUGUGGUCUUCUUUUUUUAUGGGCAAAGUAAUUUCAUCUUUGCUUUAAAAUUUUUAUUUCUUUUAAUUUAAUUUAAUUUAAAUUUCCUGUUGGCAUAUGUACUUCAUAACACUUGAAUCCUUCACUUGUAAGAAAUCUGUGCAUAAUCAGAGCUCUUAAGAAGCCUAUAGCCUUGCACCUUUGCAGCUUUGGAGAGAGGCUGAGUGGAGUGCAUUGCCCUCCUGACACAGUCUUCAACCCUGAGAUGAUUUUUAUAUACAUACGAAGUUGUGGCUUUGCAAACACAAGACCUAAGUGAUCCAUACACCAGCAAAGCCCAGUGUCUAGAUGUGUACUUGAAAAAUUCAUGCAUACGCGAUGUUCUGAAUACACUUUUCAAACUUUUCAGCUGAAUAGUUUCACUUCCCAAUUUUUCAGAAAACUUUAAAAACUUCGUAGUAUGUCUUAACAGUUGUUCAGCUGUCUUGUGCGAGUGAGCCCACAUCCCCAGCACUUGGACCAGGACCACGGUCUCUCAGCCAACCUCUUGUGACAUCAGAGGACACGCUGGGGUCAUGAGCAAGAACAGGGGCUCUUCACAGGCCUGCUCAGAAAAAAAAAUAUAAAUAACAUGUGGCUUAUAUUGUACAGCUGUAUAAAGUUCAGAUGAAACAGAUGUUUAAAGAUUAAAAUCAGGGACUGGUGGCACACGCCUGUAUUGCAGUACUUGGAGGCUGAGAUAGGUGGAUCAUCAGAAGUUUGAGACCACACACAGCUAGAUAGUGAGUUCAAGGCCAGUCUAGACUAC
rnacentral:lncRNA from 1 species